UUUUUCGGUCUCCCUCCCAUUUUUUUACCCUCUCUUUUCUCACAAAUCAACAAAACACAACUCCCUUUCCUCAAAAACCCUUUCCUCUUUUCUUUCUCUCCCUCCCAUUCUCUUUCACAAUUCAUUUCCCUAUUUCCGGAAAACUGAAACGCUCUUCUCUCACCAAACUCCAUCGAACCCAAUCCGUAGAACCAGAACUCGUUGAAAUCGUCGUCAUCUCACCAGAACUCGUCAAACUCUCACACUCAACAACUCACCCACCCUCUCUCCCGUCUAAAUCAAUGGAACCCAGUACCCAUUGAACUCUUCAAACCCAUAGACUGAACUUAGAAAUCCUUAAAAUAAUUUGAAGCCCUAAGAUUCAAUUGAACCCAGAAAGUGCUUUGGAUUCGAACUUGUGAUCGAUUUAGGUGAAGUGUUCAAAAGGGCCUUACAAUCACAACAAAUGUAAGUCUAAUUUUGCUUCAAUUUAGUUUUGUGUUGAUUCAAUUCAGUUUUUGUUUCAUUUUUAUUCAUACCUUGUGAUUUAUAUUAGGUGAAGUGCCACAAAAAAAUGAAUUCAUUUUCUAAAUGUAUACUACGUUGAUUCAGGGUCACAGUAUAAUGUUGAUAAAAUUCUGAUUUGAAUGUUUUUUCCCCUUCAACUAUGAGCUUCACACCGUCAAGCUUCAUGCCGUUGCAAUUUGACGUCGAGCUUCACGCUUUUUGACUUUCACUCUUUCUACAUCUUCACAAUCGCUGAUCGAAAGAAUGUAAACCAGCUGAGUCGAAAGAAUGUGUCCUCAUCUUAUAUGAUUUGUAUAUGUCAAAACGGGAAGGGUCAUUUGAUGCUACUCCGGAGAAAUACAAUCAGUCAAGCUACCCUUAUCUUGAGCAGCUAGCAUGAUGGAUAUAUGAAUUGUUUCUAUAACGUUCGUUUUCUUACUUCAAAUCACAACUACUUCCUAUAGAAGCCAUUCUAGCUGAAGCCACUCUUCGAAGAGUCCAUGCUGCUGAGAAGGAUGAUGAAAUGCCUCCUAUAGAAGCCAUUCUAGCCAGGCUUAACUCAAGCUUGCUCGGCAAGAGAUUGCUAAACUUCAAGAUGAUAACAGAGCUUUAGAUUGUCUUACAAAAUCCAAAGAAGCAGCACUUCUUGAAGCUGAGAGGACUGUUCAGGUUGCCUUGCAUAAGCUUGUAAUUGUGUAUCAUCACAUCUUUAGCUUCUCAAGUUUUAACUCACACCAGCAUUGCUCAUUAAAGUACUUCACUUGCUCCACAUCCAAAGGCAAGAUUUUUCAAGGAUGCUGCAACACUACUAAUUUAACAUCCUAGUAGGAAGAUAGAGACAAAAAAGUAAUUAUGCAGUUUUUUUUCGUUUUUUCUGAACUUCACGAAAUUUGACUGAUCUCUAUUACAUAUUGAUGACAGUAAAGGAAGAGGCAACAUGUGCUUCAUAGAAAAAUUGAAAGAAGCAUGUUCUAAUUGGUUAUUGUAGUCUAUUGGUCACUUCAUGAUCAAAAUGUCAACUUAAACAAUUUAGGAUGUUGUUCUAAUCAGUUGGCAUAGGCUGUUUUUUUUUUUUUUCCUGGUGUGAGGCUGUUUGUUGCUGUCAGCGCCCUUUUCUUUGGGCUAGGAGCUGGUCCUGAGGCACGUUAAUGCUCCGCUGGGUUUGGAGUUGCGCCUGCUACCAUAACAGUUUUGCUAUCAGCUAGCUUUUAACCCCUUCGUAUAUAUUUGCAUCAGGAUUAGUGUUGGAUGUGGGUAGUGUUUGGGUUUCGUUGUUUCCAUUAUGUGUUUUCGGUGUUCCGCCUAUAUACGGCACCGGUGUAUUAAUUCCUUUUUCGUUUCUUCCGCGAGUUGUUCUGCUUUUAGUACAAUCUUGAUGAAAAUAAAUUUUGCUGAUUCAAAAAAAAAAGAAAAUCACUAUCAACAUGAAUCAUUAUAGUCUUUCAAGUCAA